rnacentral:misc_RNA from 1 species
AAGUCGUAACAAGGUUUCCGUAGGUGAACCUGCGGAAGGAUCAUUAACACAAUUUUACUGUGAUAAAUCCGUUGAAUUCUCGAAUUCAAUGGUAUCCACCCCAUUAUUGACGAACUUUUCUAGAUGUUAAAACAUAGAGCUAGUCUUUAUGUUUUUAACAUUCUAAACCGCGUCUAUAUCCACACAAAUUUAAACCCCUUUUACAACAUGUCUUAGACUGAAAUGAAAAUUUUCUAUCAAAAAAUUGAUAAAAACAACUUUUAACAACGGAUAUCUUGGCUCUC